GCUUCUCGCACAGUCCUUGUCGUCGAGACGGCGUCCAGAGUAGGACCAAAUAUUCCGGAGUGCAUUCGAAUUCGCAGUGCCGGUUAUCAUAGCGCUCUUUUUGGGAGGCCUGUGACGCACAUAUCCUAAUAUGAGCAACCUGGCGAUAUAUACUGGCUCGAGAGAUGACGUCCUGAGCAUAUACGAUGAGUACGUGGGGAUCAGCAGGAAGGAGCGUCUGAAAGGACAAAGCAUGGUUGCGACCGUACAGGAGAACAAACGGUGUUUGAGAUCUUCCCAAACGCCGUUGCUGUGUUUGAUGCAGACGAAGACGGAGAUUUAGACUGUGUGGUAGUUGUGCGGCAACACCUUGAUCAAAACAGCAAGACUGCUAGCUACUUGUGGCUACUGCCGUCCCUGAACGGACGUCAAGCCGAAAACCACACCAACUAUUUCAAGGAAGGAUCAACACCUGACAAACCUGUUUUCGUAACGGACGACGGCGCAGAUGGUGAGAAAACGGGAAAUUUCGUAUAUACCAACUAUGAGAAUUGCGUCGUAGUGGACAUCCCAUUCAAGGACAAACAAAGCUGUGGUCUAUGGGUCACCUCAGAUGCUGUGCACAGUUUCCCGCAGGAGUGCGUGGACCAGUUCGAGGACAACUGCGAUAUGGCAGUCUCAGUGUUCGAUGAGGAAUCGUGCAAGGGCGUGUUGGACAACAUCUAACGCACUAGGCAUGCUUGUUAAGAGUCUUCGGUGAUGACUACCGAAUAAUAAA